rnacentral:misc_RNA from 1 species
GCAUUUUCAAGCCAAAAGCGUGAAACGCCUACGCGGGGAAAUCAGUCCAGUGGGCUGAUUUCCGAUCCCGCUUCGAUACGUGGGAUAAUGUGACAAAACAAAGAGAUAGAGCGGUUCCAGCGAUUUCAUUUUAGUCGGAACCGCGCUAAAGUGAAGACAGGCACAGCCGGUU